CCUCCAGCUAGAUUAUAAAAAGCAAUGAAAACAGUUGUUAGAAAUUGGUGAUUAAAAAUCUAAACAACAGGAUGAUUAUAAGUAGCAACAAUUGACUGUGUAUAUUCAAAUAGCUAGAAGAGAGGACUUUGGAUAUUCCCAACACAAAUUACCCUGUUUUAUUAUCCAUUGUAUACAUGUAUUGAAAUAUCACAAAGUACCCCAUGAAUAUGUACAAUAUAUGUCAGUUAAAAAUAAUAAUAAAAGAAAAAAGCCCAAGCCAACCAAUCAGGUGACAGUCCAAACUCUAACAAAACUUCCCUGGUAAUCGGAAAAAAAUUGAUUUUGAUUUCUAGCACAUAAAAUCUGUGCAUUUCCCUUAUGUAAAUAAUACCUCAAUAAAAAUAAAUUAUUAAAAUAUAUACACAAAAAAGCUUAAAAAACCCACUCCUCUUUCUGGCAUCUAGAAGAGUUUAAUUGAAAUGCAUCGUGAAAUUGUAAGGGAAAUUGUUUAAAUAAAUGAAUUAGCUGCCUAACUAAAGCCUACCCCAAUCCAAUGAUCUUUUAUCAUAUUACUCUAUUUUCCUGAUAAUAUCUAUCAUUAUCAAAUUAUCUUAUUUGUUUCCUUAUAUAUUACCUUUCUCCCCUAGAAUGUUAGCUUCUUGAGGUCAGAGACUUUGUCUUGGUAACUGCUAAAUCUUCCUCUUCUAGCAUGGAUCUCGGCACAUGGCAGGGCCUUCAUAAGCAUAUAUUGAAUAAGUGAAUGAAUAUUUCCAUCAGCAACAACUUCCUUGGGUACUUUUUUUUUUUUUUUUUUUUUUUUUUUUUUUACUAUUAUACAAUCAAGAUUGCUUAAGUAACUUGGGUUCAGGGGCUGAAAAAAAAUGGAACUGUCAUAGCCUUAAGGAUCAGGAGCCCAGAGCCCAGUGACAUUUGUGUAUAAACUUUGGUUAGAUGUUCGAUUGCACUUAAUGUCAAUUUGUCACGUGAAAAUGCAACGUUAGUUUUUAUGACAUACUAAUAACUCUUGAGGGUUGUAAUUAAAUAGAAGCAAUUUUUGUGAGGUACCAAUAUUGGGUCUGGAAAUAACAGAUUAAUGAAUAAAGAAAACAGAAGAUAGUAAAUAGGGACUUUGACACAACAUAGGCUACUACAUUUAUGGAAAUGGAAGUAAAUGAUAUUUGAGGGAUUAAAAAAAUCAUUCACAAGUACUUUUUUAUCCACAUAAGUGGAUUUGGCUUACUGAAACCCUGAUUACUAUAUAGAAUAAUACUUUAACUCAAUCAUAAGGGAAGGGCAAGUUUUUUCAUCAUACAUAUUUAGUGGAACUGAAAGCUAUUUUAGCAAUGUGCUCUUAUGUAAUAUUAGGUCACUUUCUUUGGAAAAACUCAAAGCGCUUUUCAGCAGAAUUUCAGAAUUACUCUUCACAUUCCAAGGAGGAGAUGGUGACAUUGAAUCAUUAAAAAAAUGAGAAACCAGGCCCCAGGGAAGCCUGUCUCAAAAUCAGGAUGGCGUUCCGAGGAUCAGCUAGAAUACAACGUGGGCCUUAUAAUUCCCAGCUGUCUCUCCUGGAUUUUCUGUUAUUUGAUCCAGUUGCUUUCCAAGUAGCAAACAACCUAUUUGAUCAACAUACCUUUUUUAUUCAUCAGUGUAAACUCUAAAUUUUGCUUCACAUGGGCUGAAUGAAACCAAAUAAGAAACACUUGAGAAGCCUAAAAUAAUUUUAUAAUUAAGAAGUGGAUCUUCCCAUCUCUGAGGAAAAUGACUGUGAUGAACACCUAACAGUAUGGCAGUCAGAGAAUGGGAUGGAAUGAAUGGAGGCACUGAAGUGACAGAGAUGACCCAAAGCGGUCAAGACCUGAGAACGCGCUGUUCAAGUGGCAGCCGCAGCUUGUUCACCCUCAGCCUGGGCUCCAUGGGGCAACACAGACCCAAGGUGAGCUGAAAUUGUACCCGCAGUUCUUCUUGAGCAAGAAAGGGUUUUCCAGGUGGAAUUCCACAACUGAGUUGGAAAAUAAAGAUUAAGAUACAAGCAUGUGCCGAGGGACAGAGAACAUGACUUCUGUGAGGUGGAGAGAAGAGAGCUGUGCUGCACAAAGUGGAAAGGAAACUUUGCCACCAUUAAAUAAAUGUAGCCAGAACAGACUCAAAGAGGGCUCUGAAGGGUGAAGUCCACUGAAGUUGUGUACAAUUCAUUAUGCAAGGCAGACUCGAAUAAUAGCUGACUUAGUUUGAUUUAUACAGGUGAAUCAAUAAUUUGCCUGAGAGAUCCAAUUUUGGGUUUAAAUGAUCUGAAUGGUCUUGCCCUAAAAUCAAGCUCUGUCCAGGAGCCCUAGUGAUUGAGGCAGUGGAACAUCUCUAGGCUAAACUGGUUGGGUCAGCUCUAUCCACGCCUUUGUAAGCUUUUAACCAUUUCACAAGAGUGAGGCAUGAUGUGAGGUUAAGGGAGCUUUCCUGUGAUGGGAUGCUGGGGAGCGUGAGGCUCACCCACAAGCUAAGGGUCUGGUUGAGCAUUUGUGGUUCAAGUGCAUGUAUUUGCAAGGUACGGUUUGCCUUGUGUCAAUGAACCUUUAAAUGUCACCUGAGAUCAGUUAAAAGUAAAAUAUUAAAUAUGUAGCAGCUGUGAGUGUAUUGUAAUUUAUGUGCAAGUGCUUUGAAAACUUAAAUGCUGUAGUGUUUAACCUUUUUCUUUGGUAACAGACCAUUUUGAGAAUCUGAUGAAAAUAUGGACCCCCUUCCCAAAAGAAGUACAUACCAAUAUGCUUAUACCUUUAUGAUUCUCUACGCAAAUUCAAGAAGUUCACAGAUAUUCUGAUGUCACAGCUUCCCUGAUACGGAGAUUUAUAAGUAAAAAAUGUUAUUGAGUAUUCUUUUUACAUAUUAAGUGAAUGGUGGUAUGUAGAGUUGUAUAUUUAACACGAUCUCAGUGAUACUAUAUAUAUAUAUAGAAAAGGAUAUACGCACAUGCAACAGACUGGAAGGAUAUGCACUAAAAUGUAAACAGUGCGUAUAUUUGGGUGAUGAGAUUGUGGGUGAUCUUAAUUUUCUUCUCUAAGUCUUGUUUGAAAAUUUUUUCACUAUUUUAUUGUUAACAAGAGUCGCUGUGCCUUGUGACAGGUUAUAGAAAUACUGGGCAGAGCUUUCAAAAGCAAAUCUAGGCUGGGGGUGGUGGCUCAUGCCUGUAAUCCCAGCACUUUGGGAGGCCGAGGCGGGCAGAUCAUGAGGUCAGGAGUUCGAGACCAGCCUGGCCAACAUGGUGAAACUCCAUCUCUACUUAAAAUACAAAAAUUAGCUGGGCAUGGUGGUGUGCGCCUGUAAUCCCAGCUACUCAGGAGGCUGAGGCAGGAGAAUCGCUUGAACCCGGGAGGCAGAGGUUGCAGUGAGCCAGGAUGGUGCCACUGCACUCCAGCCUGGGUGACAGACAGCAAAUCUAAAAAGACCCUGUAGUGGACCCUCUUUUGGGUGGCGGCUCUAUUCACAGUAGUCUCUCGUAUUCUCUGUUUCACUUAUUGCAGUUUAAGUUACCCUCAGUUAACCUUGGUCCAAAAAUAUUAAGUUAUUUGGCCUGGGGGUGGGUGGUGGUGAGUUGGGGGAGGGGGAAGCACAUUCACUAACUUUUAUUACAGUAUUUUGUUAUAAGUGUUCUAUUUUAUUAUGAGUUAAUGUUAAUCUCUUAUAGUGCCUAAUUUAUUAAUAAAAAUUAAACUUUUUUCAUAGGUAUGUAUGUAUAGAAAAACACAUAGCAUAUAUAGGGUUUGGUACUAUUCUUGGGUCCAGGCAUCGACUGGGGGUCUUGGAACACAUCUUCCUUAUCCACGAGGACUACUGUAUUUACCAGUCUCUGAGAUCUAGUGAUUUAUACCAUGGGAACACUCCUCCUGGCCUUCUGAUUGGUUCAAGGAUGGGGGGCCCUGACUAGCUAAACCAAUCAUUGUCUUUCCCCAAGAUUUUUCUGAACCAUAACUAGCAAGAAGCCAGCUCCUCUGUGGUGACAGAAGCUCUUAGAGUGAGGUUUGGAAGCUUUUUAUUUUUUGGUGAGGGAAAGGGGGCACAUUUUCUGCUGGUCUGGAAAAGAGAAAAAGAGCGGAGGGUGGGAGAGAGAGAGAGAAACACCAGAUAGCAUUUCAGUCCCUGGUUCCAGUUGCCCUUGAGCCCGAUUACACCCUUGUCCUGCUUGCAUUUUGCUUUUUCAAUUCUUUUUCUGAUUUUAUAGAUACCCUUCUGCUCUUCCAAUAGAUUUUCUUUUUGUCUGAACUUGUUAGAGUUGGAUUAUUUCUGGCACCCGAAACCAACAAGUACAUACAAUUAACAAAAGUAUAAGUAGUCAUAUAAUAUAACUUGGAUUAUAUUCAUAACCCCAAUUGUGGAGUACAGAAAAUCACCAAUAUUACUUGACACAAAAAGUGAUUGGCUUUGUGUGCCUGGCCCUGUGCAGGACAGAGGGAGGGACAAAAAAAACACAAAAAAACAGACAAAUUGAAAAUUUUGGUUCAGAUCCUGAAAUCAUCUUGUUUCUUAAGGAGGCAAAACUUGUCUUCUUGGCUCUAUGCAGAAACAGUCAAUAGGGGAUUGUUUAAACCCUAGGUUAUGACCAUUUAAAUUACAAGUCUAUUCUCUCAUUUAUGAAUGUGAUGCUUCAGAUAACACAUUUACAUGGGUAUAAAAAAGAACUAUCUUUUCUAACUUAAUGAGCUAGAAAAGAAUCUCUGCAUUAACUUGGCAAACUGAAGAUAUCUGAGCUCUGCUAAAGAGAAAAUCUCAGCCAAUCUGUAGAGAUUCUCUACAAGAAUAAUUACUGUCACAUGGGUUGGUGCUCUUCAAAGCCAAUUCUAUUUCAACAAAUGUUUAACUAUAAUGAAAUUAGCAAGAGAUACUGGGACAAUAUUCUAGAAACAUUUGACCUAGUGGAAUUUCAUAAUGACCUUCUUAAUUAAAAUAUAACCCACCUAAGCAAAAAGCUCCAACUUCAAAUCUGGUCCUACCUGUAUCCACUAUGAAAGUGUGGAAAAUUAUAUCUGCCUUUGGCAAAUGUAUGUUUCUACUGGGCUUAGAAAUGGCCUGCCCAGGAUAGUGUGCUAAGCUGGUGAUGAUGAAAUCAUUUCCACCUUUGGAGGCUGGUUAUGGUGGCACAAUCAGAAGGAAAGAGUUUUGAGGUUUACAUCUAGAGUGACUAUAAGAUAAUGAGAUUAAAUUUUUUUUAGUCUCAUCUAGACUAAAUUUAGAUUAAAUUUUUUUCUUUAAGCAAUGUACUAUAACCUACAUAUUCUAAUUCAAGUAAAAGCUAUGUUCACGUUUCUUGAAGGUUGAGAGAUAUUGUUAUUACAGCAUUUUAGACGAAGACUGAGUAAUUUGAUCUUACAUGACUAAUGUCUUUAGAUGAUUCUAGAUUUUUGGAUUUGAUGCUAUAGCUACGAAAUAAGUAUUUGGGGUAGGGCUUUCAAAAUAGAAUCUCAGUGUUUAUUGUAGGUUUUUAUCUGAAUUACCAAAUUACUUUUCAGAAAUGUACCAAUUUUACUCCCAUCAGCAGAGCAAGAGUGAGUACUUCACGAUCCUCUCUCAUCAUCUCAGGCAUUCACAUACCUAAAUAUGUUUGCCCCAAAGCAUCUCCAGUGAUGCCACAUUGCUUCUGUUCAAACUUCUUUGACUACUAAUGAGGAUGAACACUUUUCCUGUUUCUCAGCUUUUGAAAUAGCUAAGGUCUGAGAAUGAGUAUGUCAUUUGCACAUUUUAUUCUUUUUAUUGAUUUAUGUAAGUCCCUUAAGAUUGGCAGUUUCAAUCUUUUAUCUGCCAUGUCUGCUACAAAUGUUUCCCCUCAUUUGUUUGCUUUUUAACUGAGUUCUUUUUUAUCUGAAACUCAGACAUUCUAGUAUUUUUUUCUUUGUGAUUUCUUUCAUUUUGCAUAUGUUUAAAGUUCAUCUCCACCCCCAAAAUCAAAUUCAUUUGAUUUACUUUGACAGCAUAAAUAAAUCCUGUCAAUUCACUGGAGCACAAAGAUAUAUUUGAAGUAAUAAACUCAUUUUAAUUUUGAAUUGUAGUUUUCAUUUAUGCUAUUUUAAAAAGAAAGAAAGGAGAAGCCAAGAAAAGAGGGCAGAUAGAAAAGGCAAACAUUGGCUCCCAGGAUCUAAGAGUGUUUGGGGGAUCCAAGGCUCUAUGUAGAGGCAGAAGCCACCAGUGACUUACCUCUGCCCUGGCAGUUACUUCUGGGUUUCAGGUUAGUGUUCUGACCAGUCUGGAAAAUAGCUAGAGGCCUGGAUUUGCUGACAACAGCCCCAGUGCAAGUUAUAACUGAAACAGGAACCUCUCCUAUCUCACCUGACCAUCACAGGGGUUAAGUACCUGGAAAUCCAGAGAUGAAAUGAAGAGGAGUCUUUGGGGGAAGGGAGGUAAGUGGCAGAGAGACUGGGAAGCCUGGAUUCCUGACUUCUUUUCCUUCUGCCCCACUCCUCCCCUUCCCCACUCGAUAUCCUGCACCCAAGAGUUGGAUAGUGAUUUACAAGGAGUGGGAAAAGGGGACAUUUUUUAUUUCUACUCAACCAAGUUUAUGUCUAAAUCUAACCACACUGCCCUUUUUUCUCUUUACAUCCUUGAAAUUCAGAUUUGUGCAAAAAGGCGUAGGUAGAAUGUAGUAAAGAUCAAAUCAGGUAAAACACAGGUUUUAGUUUGGUAGGGUCUUCUCAUUUCAGGUUUGUGUCUGGAAUUAGAGCCUUAAAAACUGCCCCAAAUGAACAGUAGUUGUCUCUAUUAUGUUUGAUCAAACUCUCAGACCAAGAGUCCAAAUGCUGCUCACUGAGGAACCCUGAAGUUAUUAUGUGAUAAACAUAUUCAAUGAAUGAUGAAAAUGAUUUUCUAAACAUUGGCUAUGGCAGCAUAAUGUAGACAAAGAGUGCUAGAUAAGCUGCCAGAAGGUUCUAGAAUCAACUAUACCCACUAUGUGACCUCUUGAAAAUCAAUUUGCCUCUUUGAGCCUUAGUUUCCUAAUCCAUAUAACUAUCUACACAGACAAUAGAGAUCUGCAAAGAAGUAGGCAGGGCUGGGCGAGAUACACAGGGUGCUAAUUAAUUUAGAAGAAGGAAAAUGAUUUCUUCAUGUCAGUUUUGUGUUCUGAAAUGCCCAAGGCUUCCUCAUUGCCCUUAUAGUAAAUAAAAAUUUCUUCCAAAAUUUUUAGCAAUCUGGCUUAAUCUUAUCUUGCCUCCUACAAGCAAUAAAAAAAAGCAAGAGCAUGUUACAUUUGAGUGUGCAUCCUGGUCUUGCUCCUUACUGUGCUGUCAUGGGCUCAUUAUUUAACUUCUUGGAGCCUUUGUUUCCUGUUAUACAAAUAGGGAUGACAGUGCCUCUUUCUUGCAAAUCUGCUGCAAGGGCAGAGUGAUAUUUCUGCUUAUGAUCUGCCUUGCUAUUAUCUGCAAAUUCCACUGUUCUAGCUCAAAUCCCACAUGAGGUCUUCUCUUUACUGAGGUUUUUACUGACCUCCCAUGUAGCCCCUAUGUGUGCCAAUAAAGUUUUGUAGAUAAAAAUAAUUUAAACUGAGAGUUACCUGAAUCGUUUUCUAGUGUGGCCUGCCUUGAUAACAGGGUAAUACCUCUUUCUUGACAUCUUCCUAUACCCUUGUUUUUUGCAUUAAACACACUUUCUACUUAUCUUUAUUGUGGCAAUUACGGUAUUGCCUGAUGGUUAUCUGGGACAGUCAUCACAUGGGUCACCUCUUAAUUACUGAACCAGAGUUGUCAUCAUGUUUUAGUCAUACAACAAACUCAGGAAAGGUGAUCUGAUAAAGACUGAUUUUAAAAAUACAAUGGUAAUCUAAAAAUAAUAGCAACAAAACUUAAAUCGGGCCAAAAGACCUGGGAAAGAUAAUAGCUUAUUGAUCAACAGUGUGUAUGUACACUGGUAAAUGUACCAGGUAAAUACACCAACCAUGAGUUUCUUCUGGGCCAUACUGCUUUAAAGCAAUAAAGGAAAAUGAGCAAGCGAGGGAGAGAAAUGAGGUUUGGAAAGAACUUGUGAUUUCUUGAGUAAAUUGUUAUGGAUACGGCGCCCCCUAGUGCACUGAACAACACAGGUGCCCCAGUGUGUAGUAGCUGAGAGCUCCAGAGCUGAGCAAUCUCAUCAUCCCCGUCACAAACCUUACUUGAAACACCUGUGAUUUCUGUUUCACCAUAGAUUUCCUUUCCGCUGCACAAGCAACUGUAGCCCAAGGAAGAAAGGGGGACAGAUAUCCUUUAUUCGGUUGGAUUUAAGCACUGAUCCUCAUGGGAGUCAUGAAUUAAUUCAAGGUACCCAAAUAUUAAAAAGAAUAAAAAUUUUUUACCUUGAAAAGAGUUUCUACUUUUUCCUGAGAUAGAGGAAUGUAAUUAGGAGAAUAAGCAAAACUGAAAGAUGAUUCCUUGUUAUUUUCUAAAAAUGUUAUUUGUCCCCAUCUUCUUUUUAUCAACAUGUUUGUCAUCUGAUGCAAAUAUAUUUUCUUCAAGCAGGAUGCAUGGACCAAAAUUGAACCACAGCAAAAGGAAAGCAACUCUUCCAAUGAGGAAAAAUGUAAUCCAAUAAUUUGCAUUAAAGCAUUGUUUCUCAAAAGGUAGUCUCCAGAACACUAUUUCCACAGGAUAUCAACGGGACUUAUGCAAAUAAGGGUUUCAUGGCAAAUACUUCUGAGAAAUUUGAAAUUCAACAAAGAUAAAUUAAUUUUUAAAAAUGCUUCAGUAUGCAUGAGUCCUUAGUAUACUCUGAAUAUACUACCAUACUGUGUAACACCACACUAUGAACUGCAGCACUUCCAAAAUUAUUUAACACAAUGAUUUUUUUUCAUGCCUAUCUCACACACUUGGUUCAUGAAUUAUCCUUUGAGAAUACACAUUGGACUAGAAUUUCACUAGUUUCCAAAGAUGGACACCACAUAGGAAAGUGUGCCAAAAGGAGAAAAAGAAAAUAGUAAAUUUGAUAUGCGCAAAACUUAAGGUGACUAGAAGGAAGUUUGUGGUCAGUGUUGUAACUCUCUUCUGCAUUUGAAAGAUUAGUAAUACAACACAUUAAAGUUUCAACAUGGCAGUCCUAUGGGGGUAAGAAGAAUCAACCAUGCUGGAAACAUCAUCAGCCCACAAAAUCAUUGCCAGAUUUCUCCCACAUCACAGCAGUAACGCUACUUCUGAGAAUGAGAAAUGACCCUCCAAGUUUGGUACCCCCGUCCUGCCGGGUUUCCAAUUUUUACUAACACUUUUCUUUGUGCACAACCUGUACUAAUUCACAUGGAUGUUUUAGGCUCGUUAUUACUAUUAGUCAUGGGAUCACAGAUACACACAGUAGUUUAAAGAAGUUAGAGGAAGCCUGUAUUUAGUACAAACUGUGAAUUAGAGAUGAAUCUUGUAACUUGCAGCUAGACAAACUUGUCCCAAAGAAUGCUUGAGAAAAGUGGAAUUCCACAGACUGGUUCAUCUUGGAUAAUGGCACAGUAAACAGAAGAGCGGAAACCAGGCCAGGAGGAAGGGACCGAUGCUUCUUCAGGACAGGUCCUUGCUGCAUUUGCUCUAUCUCAUGCCCAGGAGGAUGUACCUACUCCUGGCAGCUCAAAUCACAUUUCAGAAACACUGCUGUCCAUGGACUCAUAGCAUGUUGGGCAACGCCACUUGCAGACAUGAAGGAGUGGGGGCUUCAGGCAACCUAGAAUGAUUAUACGUAAUUCUAUGCCCUCUUGCUGGGAUACAGUGUUUUGUGGUGAGAACAAACAUUUCAUCAGCUUAGGAAGGGUUAUGGCUCUCAGUCUUUUAGCAUUUAGGGGUCAAGGGUGGGAAAUGGUUCAUCCCAGAAGCAGCUCUUGGUUUUCAGUAGAUGUUCUAUUUUCUUUCUAACGUUUUCCAGCUGAGUCGAUUUCAGACAGAUGGAGGUCAAGUGAUUUACACUGAUGCCUAGUGAAACAGAACAGCUGGGACUUGAACUCGGGGACUUGACUGGUGGGCAGCCCCCAGCCUAGUCAGUCAAAUGCUCUCCUCCCAGGUUUUUACCACCUCUCUGGUUGCACCUCGAAGGCAGCCUGCUGUGUCUGGCAGGGCCCAUCUCCUGGGCCGUGUCUGCUCAUGACUGGAAUAAGAGGCCUGUGACAGGUCAAGUCUGAAUGUUCUGGCAGAGCGGCGCAGGGCAGACUGCUCCACGCCUGGCUCAAAGCACACGGAGUCUGGUGAAAGCCAGAUUGAAGAUAGCUAAAUGCGCAUGCCAAAAUUCCAAAAGGAAAAACUUAGCUCACAGUUUUCCUCUGCAUGGUGAUUUUUCAUCCUCUCCUUUUUCUUUUUGUAAAAAGGGAAUCCCCAUGUUUACAAGUUGAAAUCCAAAAUGCAUAAGUGGUCAGUUCACAAUUCUGUGACCCAUGAACAUCUGUGGGCCUGGGUGUUCCUUGGGAAUCUGCAGUGCUCACAGCAGUGAGCCAAGCCCGCCCUGGCAGAAGGGAAUUCUCCAGUGAGUCAAACAGUCCUGCGAGUGCCCGGGGUCUGCUUCUCCUCUGGUUCUGCUUUCCUGGGACAUGUCUGUAUUUGACUUCCACUAGUUUCAUGAACUGCAUUUUGACUAUAUUUUUGGAGAUGGGUCCAUCUGAAACUUGUUACAGGAAGUAGGACAAGAAUCUUCAUUUUGCCUUUAAGAGAAAUAAAACUCUGUAAUCUGAGAUGGGCAAACAUGCUCCAAGUCUGUUUACCAAGGAACAAGAACCUCUGUGUCUUUUGAGCAGACAGAAAAAUCAAAAAUAAAAUAUUUAUUUGGGAUUUGUCUCUGAGGACUUAAGUGACUGAAAACCAAUAGGGCCUCCCCUCCCUCUGUGGAAAGGCGAGUUCCAAAGCCCCGGCUCCCAGGAGAGCCCUAUGGUGAGGUUGCUCCAGUGUGGCAGGUGGCAGUGGGUGUGGCUGAAAGUGCCUCAUCACUUUCAUUCUGGAUCCUAGGUCUGUAGAUGGGCUUUGGCUGUAUCAAUCAUCUUUUUAAAGUUUUAAUUUGGUAGCCGCUCAAAAGUUAAGGGAACCCUCAAUGGGCAAAGUUAGCAUGGGACAUAUUUGUGUCUCCUCUUCGGAACUUGGUUUUCCUUGUCUGUAAAAUGAGGGAAUGGACCAGAUCACUGCUCCAGAGCCCCAAUGCAACUAUAGGAGUCUGUACUUUGAGGCUUGCUUCUCUCCUAGUAGGAAUUCAGUUCCUCUGCCCUAACUUUUCUGCUAUAGUCUGGGUGUUAUGGGCUGAAUUGUGUGUCCCCCACAAAUUCAUAUAUUAAAGUCUUUUAACCAAGUAUCUCAGAAUGUGACCGUUUUUGGAAAUAGGAACUCUAUUAGUCUGUUUUCACACUGCUAAUAAAGACAUACCCAAGACUGGGUAAUUAAUAAAGGAAAGAGGCUUAAUUGACUCACUGUUCAGCACGGUUGGAGAGGCCUCAGGAAACUUACAAUCACGGCAGAAGGGGAAGCAAACACGUCCUUCGUCACAUGGUGGCAGCAGCAAGGAGAAGUGCCCAGCCAAAGGGGAAAAGCCCCUUAUAAAACCAUCAGAUCUCAUGAGAACUCACUAUCACGAGAACAACAGCAUGCGGAUCCUUCCAGAGGAGAUACCCUGGUCUCUGAAGUGGUUUUGUAUUUCCACUGAAAUAUACAAGUCUGGAUGUCUCCUACCAUUGAGCCACUUUUCAUCAUCCUGUUCUUCAUCGUCGAUUGGCUCCUCGGUUUCCAGUGGAGUUGGGAUAAAGAAGUGUGGCCUCAGGGGGUGCUUGCUGACGUGAGACUUAAGUCCAAACUUGCGCUUCAGCAGGUGGAACUGCUCUUUGACGUAGUGGUAAAACUCAUACUCGUAUCUCAUCCGCUGGUAGAGGAUCUGCACAGCCUCAGGAGAGGGGACAGUCUUCUUCACCGUCACAGUCAUGUUUCCAAGCUUCCUGUGCUCUGGAAGAGAACCGGGGUUGCACAUGAGCCAUCGUUUGCAGUAGCUUAGAGGGGAUCCUGGCGAGGACCCACAUUACCUGUACAACUCUGGUAGCACCUAAGGAAGCAACUGCAUAUCCAAGUAUUAGAAGGGAAGAAGGGUUUCUGAUAAUAUUUGGAAAGACUUACCAACUCUAGGUGUUAAUGUCAACAUGCGUUGACAAAGCACAAGCUAUCUAAUUUCAUUUCAUCGGAUGUGAACCAUGCAAUUGGACCAAAUUCGAUUGUUAACUCUGAGUUCUACAUUCUUUUGAACAGCAGAAUCUAUCCAUUUUCCCUCUUUUAUUUCUUGUUAUACCAGAAAAAGGCUUUACCCUCAGGAGGAGGCAUGGAAGAGCUGUCUAACCACUUUCUAAUAAUCUUGUUUUGUAAGUUUUAAAAUAUUGACAUAAAGUUUAAUUUGAUACAAAAUCCAUUUCCAUUUUACUAUUUCAACAAUGCAUUUGUCCAGAAAAGGAAAGGAAGGGCUGCCAGAUUUCUUAAGUAUAAUUUACAAAUUAAAAAGAUUUUUUUUUUAUUUUUUGUAGAGACAGGGUCUCACUAUGUUGCCCAGGCUGGUCUUGGCAUCAAGAGAUCCUUCUGCCUUGGCAUCCCAAAGUGCUGGGAUUAUGGCACGAGCCACUGCACCCAGUCUAAAUAUAAUUUUAACUCUUGUAAAUUUAAAAUUUUUAUUGUGGUAAAAUAUAUAUAAUUAAAAUAUGCUUAAUUUUAUACUAAUGCUUAAUAACAAAAUAUGAUAUUUUAUAUUCAUUGCUGAAUAGCAUGAAAAUGUUAUAUACAGAGUGUACAAUUUUCACUAUUUUUAAGUGUACACUUCAGUGGCAUUAAUUAUAUUUACAGUGUUGUGCAACCAUCACCACUGUUUUAAAAAUCCUUUCAUGAGUCUAUACAAAAACUUGAUAUCCAUUAAACAAUAACUUCCAAUUUCCUUCCUUUCCUUACCCCACCCUACUUACCCCAUCGAUUAGAUAGAACCUCUAAUCCAUGUUCUAUCUUUAUGAAUUUGCCUAUUCUCAGUACUUCAUAUAGGUGGAAUCAUACAAUAUUUGUCCUUUUUUUGUCUAGCUUAUUUCACUAAGCAUGUUUUCAAGGUUCAUCCAUGUUGUAGUGUGUAUCAGAACUUCAUUCUUUUUUUUUUUUUUUUUUUUGAGACGGAGUUUUGCCCUUGUUGCCCAGGCUGGAGUGCAAUGGUGCGAUCUUGGCUCACUGCAACCUCUACCUCCCGGGUUCAAGUGAUUCUCCUGCCUCAGCUUCCUGAGUAGCUGAGAUUACAGGCAUGCGCCACCAUACCCGGCUAAUUUUGUAUUUUUAGUAGAGAUGGGGUUUCUCCAUGUUGGUCAGGCUGGUCUCGAACUCCCGACCUCAGGUGAUCCACCUGCCUCGGCCUCCCAUAGUGCUGGGAUUACAGGUGUGAGCCAUCGCACCUGGCCCAGAACUUCAUUCCUUUCAAGGUUGAAUAACAUUCCAUUGUAUAGAUAGAACGCAAUUUGUUUAUCCUUUCAUCCAUGGAGAGACACUUGGGUUGUUUCCAUCUUUUGCUUAUUAUGAUGAACAUUUGCAUUCUAGUAUCUGAGUCCCUGUUUCCACUUAUUUUGGGUAUAUACCUAGGAGCAGAAUUGCUGGGUCAUGCAGUAUAAAUUUAAUGUUUUGAAGAACUGCCAAACUAUUUUCCACAGCGUUUGCACCAUUUUACAUUCCUACCAGCAAUGUGUGAAGGUCCAAUUUCUCUGAAUUCUCUCCUACAAUUGUUAUUUUCCUCCCUGUUUAAAAUCAUAGCCAUCCCAGUAAGUGUGGAGUGGUAUCUCACUGUGGUUUUGAUUUGCAUUUCCCUAAUGACUCCUGUAGUGAUGCUGAUGCUAAUGGUUUCCCUAAUUUCUGAUGACUUUUUCAUGUGCUUUUUGACAAGCAUGUGUCCAACAAAUGCUGUUUGUUUGAAUAUCUUCUUCAGAGAAAUGUCUAUUCAAGUCCUUUGCCCAUUUUUGAAGUGGGUUUUUUUUUUGUUUGCUUUUGUUUGUUUUUAUUGUUGAGUUGAAGGAGUUAUUUAUAUAUUUUAGAUAAUAUGCACAUAUAUCACGUAUAUAAUUUACAAAUAUUUUCUUCCAUUCCAUAGGCUGUCUUUUCACUCUGUUGAUAGUGUUCUUUGAUGCAUAAAAGUUUUUAAUUUUAAUGAAGACUAUUUUAUCCAUUUUUCUCAUAUUGCCUGACUUUUGGUGUCAUAUUAAAAAAAAUGGACAAAUCCAAGGUUGACACAUAGAAGUUUUUAAUUGUAAUGGAGACCAUUUUAUCUAUUUUCCUCUUAUUGCCUGUCUUUUGGUGUCAUAUUAAAGAAGCCAUUGCCAAAUCCAAGGUCAUGAA